ensembl:lincRNA A230001M10Rik RIKEN cDNA A230001M10 gene
GUGAUCACCCGUGUCAGGACAAGGAAUGGCAUCUCCCUAACAGGACUCAAGAGCCUUUGCCAUUAUCUGUGGUAUUAAGCAGGUUUCAAUUAGGAUUUUAGGUGGAUUUUUUUCUUUGUUCCGCAGAAGUUUUAAUCAAGGCAGAAAAACUCUGACGCCUCAUUCUCCUCACAACAGUCAGUCACCAAAGCGUUGCAUUUUUCUUCCUGAAGCUUCCCCUCCCUCGGGCACAUUUUUAGCAAAAAAGAUGAGAUCCCAAGCUCUCCAGAUGUUGCCUCUCAGAUGUGCCUCAGCACGCAUCUCAGAGCCAUCUGGCCGCAGCAACAGCUGGACUGCUUCCAAGUGGAAGUGCUCACAGAUCUAGCUGUCCUGGGCUGCCUUUCUCCACGGUAGCAGGCAGAGGGAGCCAAGCAGAGAUGGGAGCUCUAGGAGAUUUUCCCACUGAUGCCCCUAGGCACCCCAGUCCUGGGCAGCCUCUUCUCAGACUGCCAAGGAGCCACCAUUGCAACUGAUGGCCUCGUCCUGUGAGAACAACCAUGCGUCAGGCACUGGCUACACGGACUGAGAAGCUGAAAACUGAUCAGAGUCAAGCUGAGCCUAUUGACCGCUUUCCAUGUCCACAGAGAUAAACACGAACAAACCUAAGAUAAAACCCCACUGAGUGCACUUCCCUGGGACCAUUUCGAGAGCUUCCGACCUCUGGGAACACAUAUGUGAGCCAGCAGGAUGGCCACAUCACCCACAGGGCAGUGUAGAGGUGGAUGCCAAACGCAGAGAAACUGAGUCAUAAAUGCCUGUAACUCUUCCUGUGGGUGUGAGGAACCUGUCUCUCAAUCCAGCUUGAAUGGGAUUUGUUUCUGCAACUGGAAUAAUCUUAAAUUAUCCAUUCUGACACCAGAGACUCAGCACUUUCAGUUUCAGAGUUCAUCAUGAUGGUGGGAAACAUGGCAGCAUGCAGGAAGACAUGGUACUGGAAGAGCCAAGACUUCUACAUCUUGAUUUGAAAGCAGCCAGGAAGAGGGACUAUCUUGCAUAGGGAUCCAGGAGUGGACUCUUUUCCACACUGGGUAGGACCUGAGCAUAAAAGUCUCAAAGCUCACCUCUACAGUGACAUGCUUCCUCCAACAAGGUCACACCUACUUCAACAAGGUCAUACCUCCUCAUAGUGCUACUCCCUGGGCUAAGCAUAUUCAAACUAUCACAAAUAUGAAGUAGUUAGAUGUCAUUUACAAUGAAGGUUGAAACUUAUCAAAGGGAAUAUAAGUCAAUUUCCUCCUGGUGAGACACCAGAUUUUAUAAAUUUAUUUUUAGUUUUCAUUUGCUCUGUUACAACAACCUGACUUUAUUAGGAGGUAGAACCUGGUUGGUUGAAGUAGGACACUGAGGAUGUAUCUGGACCCAUGUCCCUGCCCCUCCUAUUUUCUGAUUACUGUCCGUCACAAGUGGGUGCCUUACCUUAUCACAUAGUCUUACAGCCCUGAAGUUUUGACUCACCACAGGCUCUUCCUCUAACUGAGCUGAAAACUCACACCAGUACCCUGGAGAUGGACUUGGGGUUACUGGAACCUCUGUCUGGUCCUCCUCCCAGUGCACAUUGAUGAACUCACCCAUUUUUUGAUUUUCACCAUUGCCUCUCUCUUUAAUCAGUGUACUGGGGAUGAGUGGCCAAGCAGAACCUGAGAUUUUUGCCCUAAAAUUCUUGUUACAAAAGUUCUAAAACUGUGAGAUAAAUCUUUCUUUCAAGCUG